AAAUCACACAUACAAAUCCCCAAUCUCAAAACUAGUUUGUUUCACAAAGGAAUACACUUUCAAUUUGUGCUUGGAUGACUCAUCCACCACAACCAUCAAUCAGCCAGCAGUGAAUCCUUCGCGGUGAUGAGAAGGGAACCACCAAAAUUUCGCACAACAACGGAAACGAUUGAAAUUGUUGACGAUUCAGAUAAAGAGAAAGUGGUGUGGCUCAUCUAUGGCCAAACCAGACGAGGUGCGGAACUAGGUGGGUGGAGUUCGAUGGGAGUUGCUUUGCAAUAUUUAUUUGAAAAAUAUUAAAUUUCCAAGUUAUGAAAAAUCUUAAAAUAUAUAUUUAUUUAUCGAAUUUAUAAUAUAUAUGUCAAAUUUUCUAGUCGUGCCCCUAAUUAGAUGGAUGAUUCAUGCCGAAUAAAAGAAAAUGAAUUAUUUUUAAUUCCAACAAAACGAUUUACAAAGAUUUUAUAAAACGUAGUUAUUUAAAUUUUUUGUGCAUUUCAUAUUAUUUAAAUAUGAGUACGUUUAUAUGUGAAAUAUUUUACAUAUAAUUAAUAUUGAUUCUUACGAGAUUUAAUUAUUUUGGGUGUUGGAGUUUGAUUUUAUAGGCCCUAAGUUUCAAUUACCAUUCUUAUUUCUCAUCUCUGCUCAAAAUUUCAAUCUUCACAUUCUUUUCUAAGAGCAUCUCCAGCGGGUGUGUCAAAGGAGGCGUCGAUCCGGGUCGCCAGGGUGGUGGCCGCGCUGGAGAUGCGGCGUGGUUCGAAGCAGCGGCGAAGCGAAGACACGAGGCGAAGGCCGAUUUUGUGCGGAGCGUGUAUACCACGCUCUGAAAUUUAAAAAAAAAAUGAAAUCAAGAGAGACAAUUGCAGAAGGGAAGAAGAAGAAGAAGAAGAAAAAGAGAGGCGGUGGGAGACCGUUGCAGAAGGGAAGAAGAAGAAGAGAAAGUGGCGGUGGGAGGCAGUUGCAGUAGGUAGAAUUUUUUUAUUUUUGUUUUUUGAGUUUGAGCCGAUUUUUUAUUUUGAUUUUUGAUUUUUAAAAAUUUUAAAAAUCUAAUUUUUUUAUCAUAAUUUUUAUUUUUUUUAUUGUAUUUAAAUUAUGUCUUUAAAUUAUUGUAAUGUUUAAUUUUAUUUUUAAUAAAAUUAGAAAUUUAAAAAUAAAA